GGCUGGUCCGAUGGCAGUGGGUCUCAGAACUUAUUAACAUUAGUGUCACUAAAGUUGGUAUACCACCCCCCCACUGCUAAAUUUGACUGGCUUAAA
rnacentral:Y_RNA from 1 species